UUGUUUUGAUUUUCGAGGUGAACAUGCCGCUUCAUCAAUCAAAAGUGGGAAAGUUACAAGUUUCUUUUGAUGAUAAUUGUCAACAUUUAAGAAGAAGAAGAAUGAUACUAUAGCUACUAAAAUAGCCCUUUUCUAAGGCCGAUCAUUCAUUGAUUUGGCAGUAGCAGUACUUAGGCUACUUCUAGCCUAGGCUAGUACAGUAGCACUAGGCUAGGUAGAACUCCUAGUGCAAUAUAUAGUCGCCGCAACAAGAGGUCUCACUUGACUUGGUCCAGCAUCUCGGAGUUGCUGCUGCUGUCUAGGCCUAGGAAAGAUUGGUGUCUAGUCCUAUGAUGGAUUUGAAAGAGGCAUUUGAAGACAAUAGUUCAAAUGCAAGAACAUUUGAGGAUCUUUUAGAAUGGCGCCACCAGUGCAGAGACACACAGUUGUCCGAAAAUAAGACAAGCUUGAAAGAUGCAGUGUUACGGUUGAUUGAUCACCAUCAGGAUGUGGAUCAACUCUUUAAAGAGUUAAAUGAAGUUCAACAGGUUAGAACAUUUGGUGCUAGCAGUUCUCAACUUACUGAUGCGAGCUAUAACCACAGAGUUGAUCAGCUGAAUGUUGAAAUGUUUGUAAGUACCCUGCAGGCUCAUGCUCAGUUGACAUCAACACCUGUGGAUGUCUUAGCAGCGCUAGCCUAUGCGAAGAACCUUCAAGCCAUCAUAGGAGAGGCAGACGAAAACACUCACCUUUUAACUGACGCCCAGCAGCAUCAAGUGCAGAUGGUGUUGAAUGGAAUUCAGAAACUGAAUAAAAUACAUGCAUUCAGCAAUUCUCAUUUCAUCAAGAAAAUUAAUACAAAAUCAUUUUUUCCUGUAGAGUUAGUUUGGAUUCUGCACAGAGAAUCGAUCAUGCCAAUCAGCAAGUUCAUCACAAACAAUUUGGGAAGACAGAAUGUGUUUGCUGCCCUCAUGCGGUGCAUAGUUUCAAUUGGUUUGCACAUCCCUGCUGAGCAGGAAAAGGCAGCAAGAAGCAAAGAAAUUGUACAAGGAUUUGUUGCAUUUUUUGUUGCCCAUGGUUACCCUGUAGGCAAUGAAGAAUCAGAAGAUUACGCUAAACGUGCCAUACAAAAGGCAUCAGUGCUUUUACUGGACACCAUUAUGAGCGACUUUUUGAAGAAAGGAGCUGAAUCGAGCAACGCCAACCACUUGAACCUGUUGGAAUUGAUAAGACAAGAUAGAAUGGUUAGCCAGGAGUCCAGCGUCAAGUUCUUCAAACACCAGCUAAUCCUACAGUUGACGUCUACUACAGAUAUCAUUGUCUCUCAAGCCAUUUUGGAACAACAUUUUUGGACAUUUGCCAAGACUGCAAGUCAUGUGACUGCAACAUAUCGUGAACUUCUGUUAUCCUUCAAGGAGGAAGAGAUAGCAGGCAUGAUUCAGAGAUUGUUAGAACACGAAGAGGUGAAUUGGCAAGCCCUCCUUAGCUUCAUCUCAACAUUCCUUGUUGUUUGUCCCAGUGCCCCAGCUUUGAUCAAAGGUUUGAUCCACAACUUUCUAUCAACAGCUGUUGAGGAGCUGGACCAAGACUUCCUCAUUAUCGCUUUGCUUCUUGCCAGACAGGCAUCCUCUGAAGGACCUCAGAUCUUUCUGCCGUACCCACAGUGGUUUAAGGAAACUUUUGGUGAAGGUAAUGCAUACAUCACAUCAAAGAAAUCCUUCACAUUUCUGAUGAAAAUCCUGACUUCACUUGUUCCAUUUGAACCAAGUCAUAUCAUCAAGGCUCAUAUUCAGAAAUCACCGCAUGCCAUCGGGAAGUGUCAGGAGCUUGUGUGUGACUACAUUUUACUGGGUAAAACAAGGCUUGCAGAUCUGAAGGAACCUUUGGAACCAGAAGGGAUCUUUGUACAGGGUCAAUCAAGUGAUGGAUCAAAAAUGAAAGUGCUUCAAGAACAAGCAGAAUCAGACAUUGAGCAAGCAAUAGCAGCAUUUGAAGUGACCAAUCAGGUUCCACUUAGCAUCAUUGAAGCAAGUAUUUUCAAAUACCCCUAUUUUAUGGGCCGAUUUCUACCAGUGCUACUUAAACCAAGAAUGUUACCUGAUGUUCCCGAUUCCAGGAUGAAAUUGAUUGAAAGUCUUAAAAACCUUGGUAAGAUUCCAGUAAGAAUGAUAGAGAAAUACAAAGAGGCCUGUCAAAAAGAACUCAACUCUCUUUUAGAAGGAAUUGAUAUGGAAGAUGAUGAUUGUGACAUGCUUGAGCCUAUGGAUGCCCUUAAGAAGAGUAUGGACAACCUUGUCAAGGCUGUCACAGGUUUACAACCAAAGACAGAAAGUUUAAACCAUCAGCUUGCAGUUAUAUCAGACAGACUUCAGACAGUUUUUUGCGAUGAAAUCAGGCCGGCUGACCUUUCAACUAAAGAUGAACUCUUGAACCUUGACAUGCAAUCACCUUCACUCACACCACUACAAGUGGAGGUGACAGAAGUAAUUUUAAAUGGUUUUUGCCGGGCUUGUCUUGAGAAUGAAAAGGUCAUUGUUCAUUGGGCUGACAACUUUGUUUCAAUGCUUAGUCAAUUUCAACUUGUUCUGAAGUCACUGAUGUUAAGGCUGUGUACAUUACUUUUACAUCAGGGACCACAGCUGGAGCAAUCACAUCGUCAUUGUCUUUCCAUCCUCCUGGUUCAUCUUUAUAGAAAACAAGAUGUUGUUCCCAUGGUAACCAUAACAGGGCAUGGGAUAAGAAAUGAGACUAGCUGUGGCCCAUUUCUCCAAAUUGUAGCCAAAUUACUCUGCAAUGACACAGGCGAUAAGAUGAAAUUUGUGCUUCAAUUAUCUACAGCAGUCAUCAUGUAUUCAUUGCAUCUUAAUGAAUCAAAUAAUUUGUCAGCACAAAUAAUUCCAGAAAUUUUGGUUGAAAAGUUUUUAUAUCUGGUACCAAGGCUGCACCCAGAUGCGAGAUAUGCAGCUUCUCAUGAAUUGAAUGAGUCUUCAGAUGCAUCUGUAAAAUUAUAUUUAUCACCGAAGUUCAAUGAACUUUGUGAGGUGCGUUCGUUGAAGCUAUCGUUGAACCAGUGGAUAUGCAAUGAGAUUCUUGUACAGCCUCAUCUGGAUCUCAUCACAUUUCUUGAAAGAAAAGAAUACCACAGGUGGAUGGUAACUGAAAAGUGUUAUCCUGAAUAUGCCGAUUACAUGGAAGUAUGUUCGGUGCUUUUCAAGGAACUUGUAGAAUACAGUAAAACCAUUGGACUUCAGUCAGGACUGUAUGUCCAUAAUGGAUGUCUCCACCAUCUUGAGCAGCAAUCCCUGAAUGCAACCAAUGAAAAUGGCAGCCAAGGAGAAAUGCUGCAGCUGCUACAGGAGAUGACUCAGUCGACUUACUUGAGAGGGUCUACAGAUGAUAGGAUGAAUGUUGAGAAAGGCAGUUGGAUGAUGGAUACAAUUCAGAAGAUAUUAGCUGUUGGAGAAAAAGAGGACAAAGCUCUUGAAACUGCCUGUAUUGUGAACAUUAUUACUAGCCUACCAGCUCACUUACUGGUGUCCAAUACUCCUGGAGAUCGCUCAGCUGCUGUCCACACCUUGAAUCAUCUGAUAAGCUUUAUCAACACCAACUUAAGACAAAACCUUAUGGAGACCAUCUAUUCUCUACCUCCACAUGUGACAUCCUAUUUUGCAAGGAUGCUUGGUUAUUUGGGUUCAUCUUAUAUCCAUCAACUGAAGACAGCCUGUCCCCUUUUAAUCUCUUCUUUGUUGGUACAUAUAAAGAAACUGAUUUCAAGUUUUUCCAGAGUGUCGAAGAGUAAUUCCACAUCACAGCUAUUUAAGGAUUUAACUUCCUUAAAAGCUCACGCUGAAGAAUUAAUGACCAGUUCACGCCCUCUACAGUUUUCUGCAACACAGAAUGCAGAUGUAUGGUUUAUCAGUGUAGCAUUGUUCACAUUUCCGAAAGAAAAGCUAUGCUCUUAUUUACAAAGACUUGCAAAAUCCAAAACGGUUUUAGAAUUCCUAUUUGAAUUAGUAAUUGCAGAUGUGGCACAUUCCAUUCUCAUUGGAAGGGAGGUCUCAGUGAAUCUUCAGCUUGCACAGAAUAUUCUAGAAAUUAGUCCUGAAAGUCAGAUUAUCCUAACAAAAAAUUCACUUCUGAAGUCUAGUGUUGCUCCUCAAACUGUUAUACAAAUGAUGCCACUAGCCUUAUUCAGAGACCAAAGCUGCUGAAGACCAUGUAACCCUGGUCCCAGAAGUGGUUUUUAAUUGGAGGGAAACCUAUAUUAGGUUCCAGGGGAAUGAGUAAACAUGAGGCUAUUAAGCAGGCACGGAUCUAGACCUUUGCACUGUUCGCUAUGGCAUGAGACAGGAGUUUAUUUGGGAGUGUCUGCAGCAAUGAGGGUUGAUUAUGUCAAUAAGCCAGGUGUUCUUCAAACUCUACUCAUUCAACAUCAACAGUUAGUGAACCUAUACACCAGAGUCAGCCAUGAUCAUCC
rnacentral:misc_RNA from 1 species